GAUGAACGCUGGCGGCGUGCCUAAUACAUGCAAGUCGAGCGAACAGACGAGGAGCUUGCUCCUCUGACGUUAGCGGCUGACGGGUGAGUAACACGUGGAUAACCUACCUAUAAGACUGGUAUAACUUCGGGAAACCGGAGCUAAUACCGGAUAAUAUAUUGAACCGCAUGGUUCAAUAGUGAAAGACGGCUUUUCUGUCACUUAUAGAUUGUUCCGCGCCGCAUUAGCUAGUUGGUAAGGUAACGGCUUACCAAGGCAACGAUGCGUAGCCGACAUGAGAGGGUGAUCGGCAAAAAUGGAACGGAGACACGGUCCAGACUACGACGGGAGGCAGCAGUAGGGAAUAUUCCGCAAUGGGCGAAAGCAUGACGGAGCAACGCCGCGUGAGUGAUGAAGGUCUUCGGAUCGUAAAACUCUGUUAUUAGGGAAGAAAAAAUGUGUAAGUAAAUAUGCACGUCUUGACGGUACCUAAUCAGAAAGCCACGGCUAACUACGUG
rnacentral:rRNA from 1 species